rnacentral:sRNA from 1 species
GUUGCCUGAGUAACCGUAUGAUGGUGGUGGUGGUGGUGUCUUCCUGUCUCAACGAUACCAAUUUUCUAGUGCUGAGAUCCUGAGACAAUGAACGCUAGCCCUAAUUAAACCAGAUGCAAUAUCAAAGGCUGGAGAAAUAAUUGAAAUAAUAAACAAAGCUGGAUUUACUAUAACCAAACUCAAAAUGAUGAUGCUUUCAAGGAAAGAAGCAUUGGAUUUUCAUGUAGAUCACCAAUCAAGACCCUUUUUCAAUGAGCUGAUCCAGUUUAUUACAACUGGUCCUAUUAUUGCCAUGGAGAUUUUAAGAGAUGAUGCUAUAUGUGAAUGGAAAAGACUGCUGGGACCUGCAAACUCUGGAGUGGCACGCACAGAUGCUUCUGAAAGCAUUAGAGCCCUCUUUGGAACAGAUGGCAUAAGAAAUGCAGCGCAUGGCCCUGAUUCUUUUGCUUCUGCGGCCAGAGAAAUGGAGUUGUUUUUUCCUUCAAGUGGAGGUUGUGGGCCGGCAAACACUGCUAAAUUUACUAAUUGUACCUGUUGCAUUGUUAAACCCCAUGCUGUCAGUGAAGGACUGUUGGGAAAGAUCCUGAUGGCUAUCCGAGAUGCAGGUUUUGAAAUCUCAGCUAUGCAGAUGUUCAAUAUGGAUCGGGUUAAUGUUGAGGAAUUCUAUGAAGUUUAUAAAGGAGUAGUGACCGAAUAUCAUAACAUGGUGACAGAAAUGUAUUCUGGCCCUUGUGUAGCAAUGGAGAUUCAACAGAAUAAUGCUACAAA